rnacentral:rRNA from 1 species
GGAAUUCUUGGUGUAGGGGUAAAAUCCGUAGAGAUCAAGAGGAAUACUCAUUGCGAAGGCGACCUGCUGGAACAUAACUGACGCUGAUGCGCGAAAGCGUGGGGAGCAAACAGGAUUAGAUACCCUGGUAGUCCACGCCCUAAACGAUGAAUGCUAGUUGUUGCGAGGCUUGUCCUUGCAGUAAUGCAGCUAACGCAUUAAGCAUUCCGCCUGGGGAGUACGGUCGCAAGAUUAAAACUCAAAGGAAUAGACGGGGACCCGCACAAGCGGUGGAGCAUGUGGUUUAAUUCGAAGAUACACGAAGAACCUUACCUAGGCUUGACAUUGAUAGAAUCCGCUAGAGAUAGUGGAGUGCUAGCUUGCUAGAACUUGAAAACAGGUGCUGCACGGCUGUCGUCAGCUCGUGUCGUGAGAUGUUGGGUUAAGUCCCGCAACGAGCGCAACCCUCGUCCUUAGUUGCUAACUAUUCGGUAGAGCACUCUAAGGAGACUGCCUUCGCAAGGAGGAGGAAGGUGAGGAUGACGUCAAGUCAUCAUGGCCCUUACGCCUAGGGCUACACACGUGCUACAAUGGGAAGUACAAAGAGAUGCAAUAUUGUGAAAUGGAGCAAAUCUCAAAAACUUCUCUCAGUUCGGAUUGUAGUCUGCAACUCGACUACAUGAAGCUGGAAUCGCUAGUAAUCGUAGAUCAGCUAUGCUACGGUGAAUACGUUCCCGGGUCUUGUACUCACCGCCCGUCACACCAUGGGAGUUGUAUUCGCCUUAAGUCGGAAUGCCAAACUGGCUACCGCCCACGGCGGAUGCAGCGACUGGGGUGAAGUCGUAACAAGGUAACCGUAGGUGAACCUGCGGUUG